AGAGUUUGAUCCUGGCUCAGGACGAACGCUGGCGGCGUGCUUAACACAUGCAAGUCGAGCGAGGACAGAUUGGAAGACUUCGGUUGGAAGAUUUGUUCGAGCGGCGGACGGGUGAGUAACGCGUGAGCAAUCUGUCCCAGACAGGGGGAUACCACUUGGAAACAGGUGCUAAUACCGCAUAAGACCACGAAGCGGCAUCGCUUUGAGGUAAAAGAUUUAUCGGUUUGGGGUGAGCUCGCGUCCCAUUAGAUAGUUGGUGAGGUAACGGCCCACCAAGUCGACGAUGGGUAGCCGACCUGAGAGGGUGAUCGGCCACAUUGGAACUGAGACACGGUCCAGACUCCUACGGGAGGCAGCAGUGGGGAAUAUUGGGCAAUGGGCGAAAGCCUGACCCAGCAACGCCGCGUGAAGGAAGAAGGUUUUCGGAUUGUAAACUUCUGUCCUUGGUGACGAACGCAAUGACGGUAACCAAGGAGGAAGCCCCGGCUAACUACGUGCCAGCAGCCGCGGUAAUACGUAGGUGGCAAGCGUUGUCCGGAAUUACUGGGUGUAAAGGGAGCGCAGGCGGGACUGCAAGUUGGAUGUGAAAUACCGAGGCUCAACCUCGGAGCUGCAUCCAAAACUGUAGUUCUUGAGUGAAGUAGAGGUAGGCGGAAUUCCGAGUGUAGCGGUGAAAUGCGUAGAUAUUCGGAGGAACACCAGUGGCGAAGGCGGCCUACUGGGCUUUAACUGACGCUGAGGCUCGAAAGUGUGGGGAGCAAACAGGAUUAGAUACCCUGGUAGUCCCGACCUUAAACGGUGCACACUCGGGGUGGGGCCAUUUCACCGGCCCCGUCUCUCAGCUAACGCGUUAAGUGUGCCGCCUGGGGAGUACGGCCGCAAGGCUAAAACUCAAAGAAAUUGACGGGGGCCCGCACAAGCAGAGGAGCAUGUGGCUUAAUUCGAUGCAACGCGAAGAACCUUACCUGGAUUUGACAUGCAGCUGCACGGCCUAUGAAAGUAGGCCUCCUUCGAGGGUGCUGCACAGGUGCUGCAUGGCUGUCGUCAGUUCGUGCCGUGAGGUGUUUGGUUAAGUCCACCAACGAACGCAACCCCUUUGAGAUGUUGCCAUCGGGUAGUGCCGGGAACUCGUCUCAGACUGCUGGUUCACGCCAGAGGAAGGUGGGGAUGACGUCAAGUCAGUAUGGCCCUUACAUCCAGGGCUGCACACGUGCUACAAUGGCGUAUACAGAGCGACGCAAGGCCGCAAGGCGGAGCAAAUCGCACAGAGUACGCCCCAGUUCAGAUAGGGGUCUGCAACCCGACCCCGUGAAGUCGGAUUUGCUAGUAACGGCGUAUCAGCUACGACGCCGUGAAUGAAAUCCCGGGCCUUGUACA
rnacentral:rRNA from 1 species